GGGCGCGUAGCUCAAUUGGCAGAGCAACUGACUCUUAAUCAGUAGGUUGUAGGUUCGAUUCCCACCGCGCUCACCA
rnacentral:tRNA from 1 species